rnacentral:rRNA from 1 species
GACGAACGCUGGCGGCGUGCUUAACACAUGCAAGUCGAACGGAAAGGCUCUGCUUUUUUGGGGUGCUCGACUGGCGAACGGGUGAGUGACACGUGCGUAAACUACCCUCGACAUUGGGAUAACCUCAGGAAACUGGGGCUAAUACCGGCUAGGAGCCCCUGCUGCAUGGUGGGGGUUGGAUAGUUUCGGCGGUUGGGGAUGGACUCGCGGCUUAUCAGCUUGUUGGUGGGGUAGUGGCUUACCAAGGCUUUGACGGGUAGCCGGCCUGAGAGGGUGACCGGCCACAUUGGGACUGAGAUACGGCCCAGACUCCUACGGGAGGCAGCAGUGGGGAAUAUUGCGCAAUGGGCGGAAGCCUGAUGCAGCAACGCCGCGUGCGGGAUGACGGCCUUCGGGUUGUAAACCGCUUUGGCCUGUGACGAAGCGUGAGUGACGGUAAUGGGUAAAGAAGCACCGGCUAACUACGUG